ACCGGCGCACGGGUGCGUAACGCGUAUAGAAUCUGCCUCGUACAGGGGGAUAGCCCAGAGAAAUUUGGAUUAAUACCCCAUAAUGUUAUUUUGUGGCAUCACAGAAUAAUUAAAGAUUUAUCGGUACGAGAUGACUAUGCGUCCUAUUAGCUAGAUGGUGGGGUAAUGGCUUACCAUGGCGACGAUGUCUAGGGGGUCUGAGAGGAUGAUCCCCCACACUGGAACUGAGACACGGUCCAGACUCCUACGGGAGGCAGCAGUAGGGAAUAUUGCGCAAUGGGCGAAAGCCUGACGCAGCAAUGCCGCGUGAGUGAGGAAUGCCUUAGGGUUGUAAAGCUCUGUCAUAUGGGAAGAACAAGGUUUUGGUUAAUAGCCUUAACCCCUGACGGUACCAUAGAAGGAAGCACCGGCUAACUUCGUGCCAGCAGCCGCGGUAAUACGAAGGGUGCAAGCGUUGUUCGGAUUUAUUGGGCGUAAGCGCGCGCAGGCGGAUGUGCAAGUCAGAUGUGAAAUCUCGGGGCUCAACCCCGAAACUGCGUCUGAAACUGUAUAUCUAGAAUCAUAUAGGGGGCAGGGGAAUUUCACAUGUAGGGGUAAAAUCCGUAGAGAUGUGAAGGAACACCGGAGGCGAAGGCGCCUGCCUGGAUAUGUAUUGACGCUGAGGCGCGAAAGCGUGGGUAGCAAACAGGAUUAGAUACCCUGGUAGUCCACGCCGUAAACGAUGAGCACUAGUUAUUGGAGGUAUUGACCCCUUCAGUGACGCAGCUAACGCAUUAAGUGCUCCGCCUGGGGAGUACGGUCGCAAGACUAAAACUCAAAGGAAUUGACGGGGACCCGCACAAGCGGUGGAGCAUGUGGUUUAAUUCGAUGCAACGCGAAGAACCUUACCAGGCCUUGACAUCGAGCGAAGUUUCCAGAGAUGGAUUCGUGCCUUCGGGAACGCUCAGACAGGUGUUGCAUGGCUGUCGUCAGCUCGUGUCGUGAGAUGUUGGGUUAAGUCCCGCAACGAGCGCAACCCUUAUCCUUAUUUGCCAGCACGUUAUGGUGGGAACUCUAGGGAGACUGCCGGUGACAAACCGGAGGAAGGUGGGGACGACGUCAAGUCAUCAUGGCCCUUACGGCCUGGGCUACACACGUGCUACAAUGGACGUUACAGACGGUUGCCAAAUCGUGAGAUGGAGCUAAUCUGAGAAAGGCGUUCGUAGUCCGGAUUGCAGUCUGCAACUCGACUGCAUGAAGUCGGAAUCGCUAGUAAUCGCGAAUCAGCAUGUCGCGGUGAAUACGUUCCCGGGUCUUGUACACACUGCCCGUCACACCAUGGGAGUUGGUUGCAAAAGAAGUAGGUAGUCUAACUUUUAGAGGACGCUUACCACUUUGUGGUCAAUGACUGGGGUGAAGUCGUAACAAGGUAACC
rnacentral:rRNA from 1 species